rnacentral:lncRNA from 1 species
GCUGCCCUAAAACAUUCUCAAUCCUCCGCUUCUUUCUUUUCUGAAACCCUAAUAGCCCCCUCCUUUAACUCUCUCCGAUUCCUACCCCAAAAUAGAAUGAAUGCAUUAUUCCCUUACCUUAUACGUUCUGUCAUCUUGUUACUUGCACGACUUGAGCAUCACCUAGUACUUGCCUAUUUUUGGAAAGCACCUGGCCUUGAUUUAUGAACAACCAUCCUCAAUCUUCGAGACAUGUGGUAUUUUAUCUAUAUGUACUCACCACCGGGUUGUAUGGGUCCGAUUUACCAAGAUCAUCGGCCAAUCUUUGAUUUAUGUUGAACUAGGGUUUGAAAUUCCAAGUUUUUUCUUUAUUGGUUCUAUUAUCGAUUACAUGUGAUUUUCUUUACUUAUUUGUAUUUGAUUAAUUAUUUUCCAUGUUACUCGCUUGAUUCUACCACUAUAUAACCCUUCGCUAGCUUCCCCUUGGGAGUGACCGAAUUAUUACUUCUAUUACUUUCACUAUUCUCUUCUUUUACUCGUUCACUUAUUUUGAUACAGUUGAAUAUUUUUUGAAACUGUUGAAUUCUGGGCUGGCUAUAAGCCAAUGCCAUAAUACUAUUGAAACGACCUUCUCCGAUGCAAGCACUACUCGGAGCCCUUCUCGAAGCUAUCGUCAACUCUGAAGCAUCGGCGAUUUGGCGUUCCAUUGUCUUCUUUCAAUUGAUGUUACUGAAUCACUAUUGAUAUAUUAAAUUCCUUACUCUUUUGCUCAUUUAACUUUGCUACUGGUUAGUGUCUUUGACUCUUACAAUUUUAACUAUCUCCCUUUUUGUUUGUCUAUGACAUGUGUGUUCUGUGUGCCAAUGUUGCUUAAACUUUUUGUAACUAAGCAUGAUUCAGUUUUUCUUGCUAUUCGUGGAUACCUAGUAUUGUGUUAGUGUAUUCCUUACUGCAAUUAUAUUGUCUUCAAAAUUCCCUGCAGUUCUACAUUUUCUAGUAGUUGAAUUCAAUAGGCUUAAACAUAUGUAAUAUGCUUCUAGGUAUAGAUUCUAAUCUUAUUAAGUUCUACUAAACUAAUGUGUGUUUCCUACCUUGUCAUGUAUCUUUGUGUCUGUGUUUCAGACCUUUUUGAGUUAUUCUCUCCUAACAUGAUAAUUUUCUAAGUUUAUAUUUAAUUAGCUAAGGCAUGUUUCCAUGCCAUUUAAGUUCUAAUAUAUGUUUGAUUUGUUAAUCUUAUGUCUUUAGAAUUGAUUCUAGAGCAAAUUUCUAUGUUAGCUUCUCUCAUAUCUGGGUAAUUGGUAUGAGUGGUUAUGCUUUCCUGACCUAUUCCUCUUAAGUGAUAUAUAUUUUCAUGAAUUUUGACAUUGUUGUGGUCUGUUGUAGACCAUGCUACUAGCUUGUUGUUGUACUGCUUGUGAUCAUGUUAGGCUCGCAUGUUAUAAAUCAUCACGUGAAAUUUCUAUCCCUCUGACUAUAAUUACUAUGAAUAAGGCUCACUUGUCUAAAGACUUUCUCACUAAUUCUUACUAAUAUCUCGUGCUAAACUUGAUUUCUGGAAACUUUGCAUGUGUAUGUAUGUUUAACCUAUUAACUCAAUAGACCUGCUUCUUAAGCUCUCCUAAUGUGUGACUGUGUUCAGCAUGCUAUUCUCUUUCCUUUGUUGAAUUAUUUCUCAAUAUGGUGUCAGUUUUCUAUGCCAAACUUGCUAUUGUUGAAGCUGUCCACCUAUUUGGCAUGUUCAAGCCCUCUUGUUUGAACAAUCUUCUUCUCUUAGCUUCUACAAAGUGAUGAUAUGUUUAUGUAAUCAUGUCCCUAUGAGGCAUCAGUGUUAAUAGACAUUAGAUUUGUCAAUUGGUUUCCAUUUAUGGUUCCUCCAUCUAGGCCUGGUACGAGUUCAUGUAUGGCCCCAGGUUGUGCAAUUGAUGCACUCUCACGUUUGAGGUGCGCUUGGAUCUGGGUCUACUAUUUGUAUGAAAAGUGAGCUUGCUGAUAAUUAGUAAAAGAGGGGGAAUAUGGUACUAUAAUUCUCAUGUGAAUGGAUAUAAAACAUGCUUAUAUGAUCUAUGUUGUCUAUUUGAUAUUUGCUUUACACGCUUUUAGUUUCAUGUGCAGAAAGUAUGCCGAUAGGAGUCAUGUGCACACACCUCACUUAACUUGUCAAAACAUGUUAGUUCAAGUAUAUACAUGUUUCCACGUCUACUAACGUAUGCACUUAAACAACAUGCCUAUAAGAUGUGAUAUCACAUGCUUUACUAAUCAAGAUACCAUAAUAAUAAGAUUUCAAAUAACCGAUAGGUGAAAUUGCAUCUAUUACUUUAGUACACUGCCCCACCUAGAUAGCAUGUCUAUAGGAAUAAAUUGUUAUAAAAUCAAUUUAAUUAUCAAUUGUUAGAAAUCUUGCCUAUAGAAUGUUACGCACAUAAGACUAUUUAUGAGGUCAAUAUUGUUAAUACUAGACCAUCAAAGCUGUAUCACUAACUAAUCCCGACUAUUAGGAACCAUGCCUAUAGGACAUAAAUGUCUGCCUGAGGUGCAAGCUUAUAAAAUCAGCAUUAGUAAUCUGGUCACUCGUAUUGCUUUAUUGCCUCACCAACAGUUAGAAAUCAUGCCUAUAGGACUUGCAAUGCUUUAACAUGCAUGUGCACUACUUAUAUAAUACUGGAAAUCAUAAUCACGUAGAAUUCCUGCCUAUAGGACUUAACGUUUGUACUUUCGAUCUAAGAAAUCUGUGACUGAUCGUGCUCUUUUAUGCAUAUGUGUGGAGGCUAACUUGAGCUUUUUAUUGCUAUUAUGUGAAACCCUACCUGUUUUUAGUAUCACUUAGUUGUGACGAUCCGGUCGGUCAUCUUAAUAAUUUACACCUCGAUCCCUGAUUAACUGCUUUUCCCAAGUUUAUUUCUGCUUAUUUGAUGUGCAGGGACAUUUGGUUUUGAGUUUCCGAAAGUUUCGGGACACUUAGUCCCUAAUCAAGAGCUUAAGUGUUGGAAAGUUUUUCUUAGUCAGAAAAGUGUGAAGAUGGUCUCGGAAUGGAAAUUCAGUGGUUCUAUUAGCUUUGUUAGGUGAUUUCGGGGUUGGGAGCGUAUUCGGAAUGUAUUUUGGAGGUCUGUAGCUAAUUUAGGCUUGAAAUACAAAAGUUUGAAAUUUUGAAGUUUCGUUUUGAUAGUUAGAUUUUGAUCCGAGGGCCGAAAUGGAAUUUCGAAAGUUGCAGUAGCUCCAUCAUGUCAUUUGGGAUGUGUGUAUAAAAUUUCAGGUCACUUGGACGUGGUUUGGUUAGUUUUUUUAUCGAAAGUGUGUUUUGAGAGAAUUUGAAGUUCUUAGGCUUAAAUCAUUUGCUAAUUUGAGUUUUCGACGUACUUUUAGGUGGUUUAAGAAUUGGUACAAGUUUAAAUAAUGUUAAGGGAUAUGUCCAUAGGUUUGGUUGAGGUCCCGGGGGCGUCCGGUGUGUUUUGGAUGCUCAACGGAGCAUUUUGGAGUUGCAAAAAAUUGUAGAAAAUCCUCAGCUGUUGCAGACCAAUUUCCUUCUUCGCGUUCGUGCCACCUCUCCCGCGUUCGUGAAGCUCUAUCCUCUUCCUCGUUUGCAUUCGCAUGAAGCCUGCCACAUUCGCUAAGCUUCAUCUUUUCUCCGUUCGCGUUUGCAGCCAAAUCAUCACAUUCACGUAGUUCUAUUAUGGGUGUUAAACAGUCCGGGUUAACCUGGUUCCAGGCCGGCCCAGACCGGUUGAACCCGAAAUCGGCCCUACCAGUUAGAAGGGGCUGGGCUAGGCUGGGCAGGGGAGUUAGGAGGGUUGGUCUGUUUAUUUUUUUGAAAAAGGGUAACCGGCUCGGUUGAAACUUGUGGGCCACAAUGACCGUUGGCAACGGUCAGACCUUGAUUUGGUUCGUUAGCCAACGGAAAUAUUGCAUAAAUAGCC